AACGAACGCUGGCGGCAGGCCUAACACAUGCAAGUCGAGCGGGCGCUUUCGGGCGCUAGCGGCGGACGGGUUAGUAACACGUGGGAACGUACCUUUUGCUACGGAAUAGCCUCGGGAAACUGGGAGUAAUACCGUAUGUGCCCUUUUGGGGAAAGAUUUAUCGGCAAGAGAUCGGCCCGCGUCUGAUUAGGUAGUUGGUGAGGUAAUGGCUCACCAAGCCUACGAUCAGUAGCUGGUUUGAGAGGAUGAUCAGCAACACUGGGACUGAGACAAGGCCCCGACUCCUACGGGAGGCAGCAGUGGGGAAUCUUAGACCAUGGGCGCAAGCCUGAUCUAGCCAUGCCGCGUGAGUGAUGAAGGCCUUAGGGUCGUAAAGCUCUUUCGCUGGGGAAGAUAAUGACUGUACCCAGUAAAGAAACCCCGGCUAACUCCGUGCCAGCAGCCGCAGUAA
rnacentral:rRNA from 1 species